CCAGUCAUAUGCUUGUCUCAAAGAUUAAGCCAUGCAUGUCUGAGUACAGACCGAUCUAAGGUGAAACCGCGAAUGGCUCAUUAAAUCAGUCAUAAUUCCUUGGAUAGUGAAAAACUUUCCUCGGAUAACUGUGGAAAAUCCAGAGCUAAUACGUGCAACAGAGCUCGGACCACGACGAAAGUUGUGGGAAGAGCGCAUUUAUUAGAUUCAAAACUGACCGUCGUACUCCUUCGGGAUACGUCGUUUGUAAAAUGUUUUCGAUGACUCCGGAUAACUAUGCCGAGCGCUACGGUCUUUAGUACCGGCGCCGUAUCUUUCAAGUGUCUGCCUUAUCAGCUUUCGAUUGUAGGUUAAACGCCUACAAUGGCUGUAACGGGUAACGGGGAAUCAGGGUUCGAUUCCGGAGAGGGAGCCUGAGAAACGGCUACCACAUCUAAGGAAGGCAGCAGGCGCGCAAAUUACCCACUCCUAGCCCAGGGAGGUAGUGACGAAAAAUAACGAUGCGUGACUCUGUAGAGUCUUCGUAAUUGGAAUGAGUCCAUUAUAAAUGUAUGGACGAGGAUCAAUUGAAGGGCAAGUCUGGUGCCAGCAGCCGCGGUAAUUCCAGCUUCAAUAGCGUAUAUUAAAGUUGCUGCGGUUAAAAAGCUCGUAGUUGGAUCUAAUAAACCAAACAAUCGGGGAGUCGCUCUUUGUAGUCCCUCCAGUGCUGGCUAUCAGAUGAAUUUUCGCUUUAGGAGUUAUUUAUAACAUCUAUCGCGUUAAAGAUUCUAUAGAGAUUGGCUGAGAGUAAAGACAUAUCAUUGAGUAUAGCUCGUACGCGUUUGGUAAGAUUAAUAAUCUGUCGGCUCGCUCGGAGUGCCCUUUAUCGAGUGUUCCAGGGUGGCCGACACGUUCACUUUGAAAAAAUUAGAGUGCUUAAAGCGGGCCAUAUCAAGUGGCCUAAAUGUCUGUGCAUGGAAUGAAUUAACAGGACCUCGUUUCUGUUGCUAUUUAUGUCGGUUUUAACGAAUCGAGGUAAUGAUUAAAAGGGACAGACGGUGGCAUUAGUAUUGCGACGCUAGAGGUGAAAUUCUUGGACCGUCGCAAGACUAACUACUGCGAAAGCGUUUGCCAAGAAUGUUUUCAUUAAUCAAGAACGAAAGUUAGAGGAUCGAAGGCGAUCAGAUACCGCCCUAGUUCUAACCCUAAACUAUGCUAACUAGCGAUCCGCCGGAGUUAUUCCCACGACCCGGCGGGAAGCCUCAGGGAAACCAAAGUAUUUGAGUUCCGGGGGAAGUAUGGUUGCAAAUCUGAAACUUAAAGGAAUUGACGGAAGGGCACCACCAGGAGUGGAGCCUGCGGCUUAAUUUGACUCAACACGGGGAAACUCACCAGGCCCGGACAUCAGAAUGAUUGACAGAUUGAGAGCUCUUUCUCGAUUAGAUGGGUGGUGGUGCAUGGCCGUUCUUAGUUGGUGGAGUGAUCUGUCUGGUUGAUUCCGAUAACGAACGAGACUCUACCUUAUUAACUAGUCGGCGGAUCGAUACCUUGAUACAGUUGGUCUGAAUACGAUAUGGAUUGCCUCUAGGUAAUUUUGGCGAUACCCAACUACGUCUAUUUACGCGCGCUGCGUUUUACGUAUAUAUAUUUUCUCUCUCUUCGGAUUAGUUAUGUAUUGCGUUUUGCGUUAGUGUCGUUGUGGUGGGAGUAGUGGUAGAGUGCUAAUUUUCCAUAUGUGCCUAUCGUAAGUUCACGUACUGCUGUAUAUUGGGGCGUCCGUCGCAAUAUAUCUUCUUAGAAGGAUCAGCUGCGUAUAUAGCAGUACGAGAAAGAGCAAUAACAGGUCUGUGAUGCCCUUAGAUGUUCUGGGCCGCACGCGUGCUACAUUGUAAGGACCAGCGUGCUAACCCCCUCCGAAAGGAAAGGGUAACCCGUUGAAAGCCAUACGAGAUUGGGAUUGGGGAUUGCAAGUAUUCCCCAUAAACAAGGAAUUCCCAGUAAUCGCGAGUCAUCAAGUUGCGUUGAUUACGUCCCUGCCCUUUGUACACACCGCCCGUCGCUACUACCGAUCGAAUGAUUCAGUGAGGGCAUCGGACUGGCGCCUUCGGUUUUGAAAAAUAGAUCUUAGGCUGACGGAAAGAUGUCCGAACUCGAU
rnacentral:rRNA from 1 species